rnacentral:rRNA from 1 species
UACGUAGGGUGCGAGCGUUAAUCGGAAUUACUGGGCGUAAAGUGUGCGCAGGCGGCUUGGCAAGUCGAGUGUGAAAUCCCCGGGCUCAACCUGGGAACUGCAUCCGAGACUGCAUUGCUAGAGUAUGGGAGAGGAAAGCGGAAUUUCUGGUGUAGCAGUGAAAUGCGUAGAUAUCAGAAGGAACAUCAGUGGCGAAGGCGGCUUUCUGGACCAAUACUGGCGAUCAGGUGCGAAAGCGUGGGGAGCAAACAGG